GAUGAACGCUAGCUACAGGCUUAACACAUGCAAGUCGAGGGGCAGCACGGAGAUAGCUUGCUAUCUUGGGUGGCGACCGGCGCACGGGUGAGUAACGCGUAUCCAACCUGCCCAUUACUCUGGGAUAGCCUUGCGAAAGUAAGAUUAAUACCGGAUGUUGUUAAAAACCCGCAUGAGUUUUUAACCAAAGAUUUAUUGGUAAUGGAUGGGGAUGCGUGACAUUAGGUAGUUGGUGAGGUAACGGCUCACCAAGCCUACGAUGUCUAGGGGUUCUGAGAGGAAGGUCACCCACACUGGAACUGAGACACGGUCCAGACUCCUACGGGAGGCAGCAGUGGGGAAUAUUGGUCAAUGGACGAGAGUCUGAACCAGCCAAGUAGCGUGCAGGACGACGGCCCUCUGGGUUGUAAACUGCUUUUAGUUGGGAAUAAAAAGAGGGACGUGUCCCUAAUUGUAUGUACCAUCAGAAAAAGGACCGGCUAAUUCCGUGCCAGCCGCCGCAGUAACAC
rnacentral:rRNA from 1 species